rnacentral:rRNA from 1 species
CCGGGCUUGAACCUCCCAGCGAACGAUUCGGAGAUGAUGAGGUCAUUAGGGACGCUGGUGGAGGUGCUGCAUGGUCGUCGUCAGCUCGUGACCGUGAGGUGUCGGCUUAAGUGCCAUAACGAGCGCAAACCCUUUUUCUUUAGUUGCCAUCAGGUGAUGCUGGGCACUCUGGAGAUACUGCCACCGUAAGGUGUGAGGAAGGUGGGGAUGACGUCAAAUCAGCACGGCCCUUACGUCCGGGGCUACACACGUGUUACAAUGGGGGGUACAGAGAGUCGGAUAUACGCAAGUAUGUUCUAAUCCUUAAAGCCUUCCUCAGUUCGGAUUGGGGUCUGCAACCCGACCCCAUGAAGCUGGAUUCGCUAGUAAUCGCGCAUCAGCCAUGGCGCGGUGAAUACGUUCCCGGGCCUUGUACACACCGCCCGUCAAGCCAUGAAAGCCGGGGGCGCUUGAAGUCCGUGACCACAAGGAUCGGCCUAGAGCGAAACUGGUAAUUGG